rnacentral:rRNA from 1 species
AUUGAACGCUGGCGGCAUGCCUUACACAUGCAAGUCGAACGGUAACGCGGGGCAACCUGGCGACGAGUGGCGAACGGGUGAGUAAUGCAUCGGAACGUGCCCAGUAGUGGGGGAUAGCCCGGCGAAAGCCGGAUUAAUACCGCAUACGACCUACGGGUGAAAGCGGGGGACCGCAAGGCCUCGCGCUGUUGGAGCGGCCGAUGUCAGAUUAGGUUGUUGGUGGGGUAAAGGCCUACCAAGCCGACGAUCUGUAGCUGGUCUGAGAGGACGACCAGCCAGACUGGGACUGAGACACGGCCCAGACUCCUACGGGAGGCAGCAGUGGGGAAUUUUGGACAAUGGGGGCAACCCUGAUCCAGCCAUGCCGCGUGCGGGAAGAAGGCCUUCGGGUUGUAAACCGCUUUUGCCGGGGAAGAAAUCUUCCGGGCUAAUACCUCGGGGGGAUGACGGUACCGUAAGAAUAAGCACCGGCUAACUACGUGCCAGCCGCCGCUGUAACAC